rnacentral:lncRNA from 1 species
UAGAAAUAAGUAUGUUGUUGAAUGCCCCUUGAUCUGACCACGACCUUGAAUCCUUUUAUUGAUAUUUCUUGAUGCAAAUGGGCAGAAGACCAUCACCAAAGGCCUGGUUGAAUUUGGAGUAAAACAAACCCAAAUUGAAUUUGUUAUGAAUUUUUCCGUGGGCUGAAAAAGGUCCAUUUCGCCCAGCAACUAAACCAGCUCCAUCUUCA